UGGCGCAGGUGGGCAGCUGUAGGGCUCGCGCGGCGGGGGGGUUCUGAGACGUGUUUCCCGGCCUGCUGCUCCGUUCUGGUCCUGUAAAAACAACAAGGAGUCUGCGGACGCCUUAAAGACUAACAGAUUUAUUUGGGCAUAAGCUUUCGUGGGUAAAAACCUCACUUCUUCAGAUGCAUCUACCAUUUUGUAGAUACAGACUAACACGGCUACCCCCUGAUACUGGUCCUGUACUUGCCCACGGCUGGGACAUUCCAGGGGACAGAUGGGGGAGGAGAAUAGAGAAAAGGGUGCCCAUCUCAGACAGCCACCGUUCCCUGCCACCUUGCAAAGGUCCUUUAGAUGAACAAGCCUGACUAGACACUCUGAGCCACAGAAGAGAGAAACAGUGGCUACUGAAAAGAAGAAUUACACUUGUGUGAAACUGACAGCAGAAUUUGACUCAAAAUGCAUAGCAUGUUAACCAAUCACCUGUAUAUUUUUAAAUUAAACAGGAAUUUGGAGUGAAUUUAAUAAAGCAGUUGCUAACAUCUACAGCAACUGACCUCUUGAAGUCAAAAUGAAACCUUAGAAGGCACAAUCUCCUGUUUACAGAAAAUACAGGCAGUGUGUAAUAAAAGCUAAUGUGAAGAAA